AAUCGGCUGCACUGUAAACCCAGCAAUACUCAUUAAAGAGUAAAAAAUGAACAUUUUUUACCGAUAUAUGAAGCUGUCAAAAUAAAGAGUAAUUUAUUUUUGAUAAUAAUGCGUAAAUUGUGCCCACUUUCAUGUUCCUUGUUCUUACCCAUUAAUGAGUGAAAAAUAAGUUAAGUUACUAACAAACGACUGGAGGAACUGUUGGCAGAAUGUUAGAAAACGAGAAAGCAGACGCCUAUUCGCAGACAACGCAUUCGGAACACCCACUGGCGCAGCAUAAUUCCAGUAAACUGGUCCAUCCUCGAAUCAAUAUCUUGUUGGCAUACAUCAGGGCAGAUCUCCACCAUUUGGAGCCAAAUCAGGAGAUCCUGCACUGUGCUCAGUCGGCUGCCAGUAGUAUACAAACCGGAGAGGAAUUUUAUACGUAAUCGAAUAACGUCGGGUUGGUUACUUCUGUAUCCUGACCACCACUGCUAUAAAUAGCCAUCGAUUCCAGGAAUUGGAAGGACGUCCUUUGACUGAUGGCGAUAGGAUCAGGAAAAAGGUUUCUCCUAUAACAGAUGCAAUAUGAUGUGCGAUCCGACGAGGCUAAAUAGGCCAAAGCAAAAACAAGUCUUUAUCGAGUGUCAAUUUUCACUGCUAAUAUUUGAAUUAUUAAUAAAGAUUUUUUCCAUAA